rnacentral:lncRNA from 1 species
AGGAACCUGCAAGCACUACUAAAUAAUAAGCUAACAACAUCAUAAUGGAAGAAUAUUCAGCUAAGUGGCUUUUACCUAUUUCAAUUUCUCUUCUCACACUUUUCUUCUUUUUGAAAUUCAAAAAGAAACAAAACAAACCCAAAAACCUCCCUCCUUCACCACCAUCUUUACCACUCAUAGGCCAUCUUCAUCUCAUCAAAGAACCCUUACAUCGAAGCCUCCACAAACUCUCACAAAUCUAUGG